CUGUGGAUGGUGUUCAGCACCAAGGAUAGGCAUGUUUACGUGUGUGUGGAUAGUGUUCAGCACCAAGGAUAGGCAUGUUUUCAU
rnacentral:pre_miRNA from 1 species